rnacentral:rRNA from 1 species
CUACGGGGCGCACCAGUGGGGAAUAUUGGGCAAUGGGCGCAAGCCUGACCCAGCAACGCCGCGUGAGGGAAGAAUGUCUUCGGAUUGUAAACCUCUGUCCUUGGGGACGAAAAAAAUGACGGUACCCAAGGAGGAAGCUCCGGCUAACUACGUGCCAGCAGCCGCGGUAAUAUGUAGGGAGCAAGCGUUGUCCGGAAUUAUUGGGCGUAAAGGGUGCGUAGGCGGCGCUGUAAGUCAGAUGUGAAAUCCCCGGGUUUAACUCGGGAGUUGCAUUUGAAACUACAGUGCUUGAGUAAAGAAGGGGUAAGUGGAAUUCCUAGUGUAGCGGUGGAAUGCGUAGAUAUUAGGAGGAACACCAGUGGCGAAGGCGACUUACUGGUCUUUUACUGACGCUGAGGCACGAAAGCGUGGGGAGCAAACAGGAUUAGAUACCCGCGUAGUC